rnacentral:misc_RNA from 1 species
CAACCCUCGAGCCCCCCGUGGCCCGGCGUUGGGGAUCUGCCACGGCAGGCCCCUAAAACCAGUGGCGGACCCGCUGGGCCCUCUCCUUUGCGCAGUAGCAUCAGCCUCGCAUCGGGAGCCCUCGGCGUCCUGCCUCUAAACCCCCCACAAGCCCGCUCCGGCGGCACCAA